rnacentral:lncRNA from 1 species
CCGAAAUUCACAGACAUUUGGCAAUCGACCCCAUCAAGGGGGUACGGGUUGGCCUAGACCACCCUGGAUUCCUUCUCCGGCUGCGUUCUGUGGCCAAUGUACUGAGCCCUGCCGGCCUCCUUCCUCAAGAAGCUGGAAAUCUGGUAGGAGCUGGAGAUGGUUUCACUGGGGUCCCCAGGCUCACCACCCAUGGGGCUGCAGAGGGAGUGGUGGAGAUACACAUGGAGGCCUCCUGGCUCUGGGAGUAGCUUCACACUCAUACUCGGGGAAUUGUUCUAAUGGCUCAGGCUUGAGGCACCACAUGCAGUUUUUUUUUUUAAAGUAUGGUAUUAAUUUAUACUUGUCUGUUGUUUAUCCAAUAAAUGGCGUUCCAAAUAGCAGGGCACUAGCCUGAACGGGAGAGGAGUGUGGAUUCUGUUCUAAGCAUGUUACAGCAUCUGCUUUCAUACUCAUGCAUAUGCACACAUGCAUAUAUGUAUAUCCAUGUCUACCUCAGGCGUGGGCACUUGCUGACUUAUCAGGCAUAGCCAAAGAUAAAAGGCAACACUAUGCUCCAUGGAGGAUGAAUCUCACUUGGGUAAUAAAAUGACAAAGAAAACUAGAGAACUAAUGGCCAUAAGACUCAGCCCAGCUGUGCCCCAGGAGGGAGGAGAGAUUUGGGAGUGGGGUUCUGUAGGGGGGUGGGAAGGCUCUAGAGUGGGUGCUGGGGGUUACAAGCAUUUUUGCCUUAUAGGACUUCAUUAAACUUCAUGUUUGCUUUAUGCAGCUUCCUGUACUUGUGGGACAUUUACUGUUAAAUAUAUACUUUCAUAUAUAUGUGCAGAUAUACCUCAAUAUAUAUGUAUAUAUAUGUCUGUAUGUGUGUGUUGUAUGUACACACACAUACACAGAGACAUUACAGACAUGUACUCACUCUCUUUCACCUGAGUUGGCAGAAAGUUUUGUUGCUGGGCCCUGCUGAGAUAACCGGUUUGCCCAGUGGCUUGCUGGCCUUGCCAGGCUGUGCUGAGCUGUUCUGCGAUGGCUGGCAGGCGCUGCCUGGGCUAGAACUGGUAGUAGAGCUCCAGGUUUUAAAUGGACCUAGGGGGAUCAGCCCAGGGUUCCAUGCAGGUUUAGCAGAAAGAAGUAAUGCAUGACUCUGAUUUGCGGCUGCAGGAUAAAUCCGAACUAUUUCAGGGAGAUGUCAUGGAGAGCUCAUCUCUCAGCAUCAAAGUUGCCUCUCCUGACUUUUGAAUUUUAAGUGUUCUGUGUGGAAGAAAAAUGGAGACAACAAAUUUCUAUGCAUGGAUUCAAAGAAUCCUCGUAAUAUACAGACUACAUUCUCCCCAGCUUUUUAUCUCUAUAUAUUCUUUUUGUUGAGUUUCAACCACAUAGGGUUGAAAUUCACCUUCCCACAUUACAUUUUUCAUCAAUAGUUGAAGACCUAUGUAUGUAAAUAUCAGGAACUAUCAGAACUCCCUGCAACAGGAAACCUGACCCCCAACUCCCCCGAAAUGCAUCAUGAUAAACAGUCACUUGCCAAAAUAACAAAUCAGCUUCCUGGAACAUGCUUGCUCAAAACCAGGAGAGGAGCUUAGAGACGUCAGCUUGACUUCUGCCUCGUACGCAGGAAGGGUGACCUUCAAAGAUCAAACAUCGUCCCAAAUCUCCCUUCAUCUUGUAGUACUCCUGCUUGUCGUAGCUCCUGUUACCAUCAGGUACUGGGCCAACCAUCCGUCAUGUCAGAAGAGAGUUGGGGACAAUCCCUGGAUUAUUUCACCUUUGCCCUGCUGGUAUAGACAAUGUGUGUUAUGGCUGGGUGACUUGCUGACUUUUACUCUGAGCAACAGCUUUGUCAGAGUAAACUAAAACAGAGACUUCAGAGCAUAAUAAAAUAUGACAUUUUUUCUGUAUAGAACUAAAGACACGGGGGAGAGAGAACAACUUAAUUAAAAAGACAGUGCCCUUUCAGUGUCUUUUUUUUUUUUUUUUUUUUUUUUUUUUUGAGAUGGAGUCUUGCUCCGUCGCCAGGCUGGAGUGCAGUGGCGUGAUCUGGGCUCACUGCAACCUCCACCUCCCGAGUUCAAGUGAUUCUCCUGCCUCAGCCUCCCAAGUAGCUGGGACUACAGGCACGUGCCACCACACCCAGCUAAUUUUUUUUGUAUUUUUAGUAGAGACAGGGUUUUACCGUGUUGGCCAGGAUGGUCUCGAUCUCUUGACUUUGUGAUCUGCCCUUCUCUGCCUCCCAAAGUGCUGGGAUUACAGGCGUGAGAGUUUGUAUUAAUAAAAUAAGAGGAAC